CCUACGGGGGGCAGCAGUGGGGAAUAUUGGACAAUGGGGGGAACCCUGAUCCAGCCAUGCCGCGUGUGUGAAGAAGGCCCUCGGGUUGUAAAGCACUUUCAGUGAGGAAGAACGCCUGGUGGUUAAUACCCAUCAGGAAAGACAUCACUCACAGAAGAAGCACCGGCUAACUCCGUGCCAGCAGCCGCGGUAAUACGGAGGGUGCGAGCGUUAAUCGGAAUUACUGGGCGUAAAGCGCGCGUAGGUGGCUUGAUAAGCCGGUUGUGAAAGCCCCGGGCUCAACCUGGGAACGGCAUCCGGAACUGUCAAGCUAGAGUGCAGGAGAGGAAGGUAGAAUUCCCGGUGUAGCGGUGAAAUGCGUAGAGAUCGGGAGGAAUACCAGUGGCGAAGGCGGCCUUCUGGACUGACACUGACACUGAGGUGCGAAAGUGUGGGUAGCAAACAGGAUUAGAUACCCCGGUAGUC
rnacentral:rRNA from 1 species